UACGAAGGGGGCGAGCGUUGUUCGGAUUUACUGGGCGUAAAGGGCGCGCAGGCGGCUCAUUUUGUCAGGCGUGAAAGCCCCGGGCUUAACCUGGGAACUGCGUUUGAUACGGAUGGGCUAGAGUUCGGGAGAGGAGAGUGGAAUUCCCAGUGUAGAGGUGAAAUUCGUAGAUAUUGGGAAGAACACCGGUGGCGAAGGCGGCUCACUGGCCCGAUACUGACGCUGAGGCACGAAAGCGUGGGGAGCAAACAGG
rnacentral:rRNA from 1 species